rnacentral:misc_RNA from 1 species
GAUGAAGAACGUAGCGAAAUGCGAUACGUAAUGUGAAUUGCAGAUUUCAGUGAAUCAUCGAAUCUUUGAACGCACAUUGCGCCCGCUAGUAUUCUGGCGGGCAUGCCUGUUCGAGCGUCAUUUCAACCAUCAAGCCCUAGGCUUGCGUUGGAGCCCUGCGGCUGCCGCAGGCUCCCAAAUCCAGUGGCGGGCUCGUCGUCGUACCGAGUGCAGUAAACAUCCUCGCUCAGGGAACGUGACGGGUUCUUGCCGUGAAACCCCCCACAUAUCAAGGUUGACCUCGGAUCAGGUAGGAAUACCCGCUGAACUUAAGUAUAUCAAUAAGCGGAGGA